UGCUGCAUGGCUGCGUCAGCUCGUGUCGUGAGAUGUGGGUUAAGUCCCGCAACGAGCGCAACCCUGCAUUCAGUUGCCAUCGGGUAAUGCCGGGCACUCUGGAAGGACUGCCAUCGACAAGAUGGAGGAAGGUGGGGAUGACGUCAAGUCAUCAUGGCCCUUACGGCCUGGGCUACACACGUGCUACAAUGGUCGGUACAAAGGGUUGCCAAGCCGCGAGGUGGAGCUAAUCCCAUAAAACCGAUCGUAGUCCGGAUCGCAGUCUGCAACUCGACUGCGUGAAGUCGGAAUCGCUAGUAAUCGUGAAUCAGAAUGUCACGGUGAAUACGUUCCCGGGCCUU
rnacentral:rRNA from 1 species